CGCCUGCUCACCAGCCAGCAGUCACAGAGAAGUAAAUAUCGUAGUGUGCAUAAAACCCAGGGAGCAGGCAGAACUGACGCACGUCACAGGCAGACCCGGACAUCACAGGUGGAUUCAGGCUUUCAGCGGUUUUCCCCAAUACUUCUGGUGGAAGACAUACCAAAUACAGAGAGAGGAGCAGUGAAGGGAACUGGAGUUAGAUAGUAGAUUGUCAGUCUGGGAUGCCAGUUUUUGAAACAUCCAGGUGUUCCUGACCACGUCCCUCCUUCUCUCUGAGAAUGAGGAGAUUGUGCCUUGAAGAGCAGUGAUCAUGAGAUGAGAAGCAGGAGGAUGCUAAGAGGAUAGAUCAACAAAAUGGAGAGUGCCUGGGUCCCUGAGGACAUCAGCAACCCAGGGAUGAAUGAGGACGGAAGCUUUGCUCUACAGCGACUGGAGAUUCUGACCCCUCUCACCUGCCCUGUGGUAUCAGGGCACAAGCCCUUCAACACUGGAGGUCAUUCAGUUAGGGUCACUUCCUUGGCUGGUCUCCCAACUCCCUCCGAUGGUGCCAGCUAUGUUCGA